rnacentral:rRNA from 1 species
UACGUAGGGUCCGAGCGUUGUCCGGAAUUAUUGGGCGUAAAGGGCUCGUAGGCGGUCUGUUGCGUCGGGAGUGAAAACUUACAGCUUAACUGUGAGCGUGCUUCCGAUACGGGCAGACUUGAGGUAUUCAGGGGAGAACGGAAUUCCUGGUGUAGCGGUGAAAUGCGCAGAUAUCAGGAGGAACACCGGUGGCGAAGGCGGGUCUCUGGGCCGAUACUGACGCUGAGGAGCGAAAGCGUGGGGAGCGAACAAG